rnacentral:rRNA from 1 species
GGACCCGCACAAGCAGCGGAGCAUGUGGUUUAAUUCGAAGCAACGCGAAGAACCUUACCAGGCCUUGACAUCCAACGACCGUCUUAGAGAUAAGAUUUUCCCUUCGGGGACGUUGAGACAGGUGGUGCAUGGUUGUCGUCAGCUCGUGUCGUGAGAUGUUGGGUUAAGUCCCGCAACGAGCGCAACCCCUGUUGAUAGUUGCCAUCAUUAAGUUGGGCACUCUAUCGAGACUGCCGUAGACAAUACGGAGGAAGGUGGGGACGACGUCAAAUCAUCAUGCCCCUUAUGGCCUGGGCUACACACGUGCUACAAUGGGUUGGGACAAAGGGAAGCGAAGCCGCGAGGUGGAGCCAAUCCCAUAAAACAACCCCCAGUUCGGAUUGCAGGCUGCAACCCGCCUGCAUGAAGAUGGAGUUGCUAGUAAUCGCGGAUCAGAAUGCCGCGGUGAAUGCGUUCCCGGGUCUU